rfam:Felis catus isolate Cinnamon breed Abyssinian chromosome C2, whole genome shotgun sequence.
GCCUGGCUGGCUCAUUUGGGAGAGCAUGAGACUCCUGAUCUUGGGGUCUUGAGUUUGAGCCCCAUGUUGGGUA